CAGUCGCCACGGGAAUACGAAGGGUGCAAGCGUUAAUCGGAAUUACUGGGCGUAAAGGGUGCGUAGGCGGUUCGUUAAGUCUGUCGUGAAAUCCCCGGGCUCAACCUGGGAAUGGCGAUGGAUACUGGCGAGCUAGAGUGUGUCAGAGGAUGGUGGAAUUCCCGGUGUAGCGGUGAAAUGCGUAGAGAUCGGGAGGAACAUCAGUGGCGAAGGCGGCCAUCUGGGACAACACUGACGCUGAGGCACGAAAGCGUGGGGAGCAAACAGGAUUAGAGACCCCGGUAGUCCCUGUCUCUUAUAC
rnacentral:rRNA from 1 species